UGAGUUGGACAGACUCUAGGGGAGCGCUCCUGAGAGACGUUUCUCAGCCCCAGAGUUCUUCCUCCCAGCCUGCGGAGAGCCCAGUCCUGGCCCAGUCGUAGUUCCCAACCUACUUGGUAGAACUCCUGGGAUAUCAGCCGACUUCGUCCUGUGGCGCCUGCAACUGUACCUGUUGUUUUCAGAGGCAGGGCAUCCAUCCCGCCACACUGACAGAAGCUGGAGUGCAGAGACAGAGCUGGAGGUGACGCACUUCCCGCCCCAGAGCUCCUGCUCUGCAUUAUGGUCUGCGAGAUGACUCGGAGCAUGUACAGCCCACACUGCCGCACAGAGUAUCUCAAUACCACGCAGCUCUCCUAGGCCGCCUGCUAACUGGUGUGAGCAUGCUGGGUUCAACUCCCCUAAUGUGGCCGGCGCUUAUCGAACUGCAGUUGGGAGCCAGAGAUGCCACAAGGCAGGAUGCUUCUGCUUUACCCUCACCUUCUCCAAGCUGAGCUGGAUGGCCUGUGAAGGAAGGAAAGUUGAGGUUGCUGUGUUCUUUCUAACCUGUGGACCUCUGCAACUCCUGCAGUCCCUUUUCACCUGGCUGAUUCUUCCCUGUCCUUCCUCCCAGAAGUUUUCCUAAACACCCCACUGCUCCACCCUGAAGAACUACUGCCUGGUAUUUGGAUAGCAACCUGUGCCUUCCUGUUGUUUCAUCACAGCUCAUGACACUCACCUGUCUAAUUCCAUACUACAUUGUAAGUCCCAUGAAGGACAGUGACUGCCACUCUUCCGCUGACCAUUAUAUCCCCAUCACCAAGCACAGUGCCUGACACAGAGCAGGGGCUAAAUCUUUGUUGGUUGGUUGGUUGAAUGGAUGGGUGGACGGAUGGACAAAUAAACAGAAUACUGAGUGUUGACAAGGAGUGCUUAACUGCUGUCUGGGAAUGGGAACACAAGAAUUGCAUAAUGAUUAAACCUGUUAUGGCAAACAUCUUCCUUGAAAUGACCUCCACACUCCCAACAUGG